UGCGGCGCGAUUCGCCCUUGGGUUCGAUUCCGGAGAGAGAGGUGAAAUUCUCAGACCCGCGGAAGACGAACCACUGCGAAAGCAUUUGCCAGGGAUGUUUUCACUGAUCAAUAACGAAAGUUAGGGGAUCGAAGACGAUCAGAUACCGUCGUAGUCUUAACCAUAAACCAUGCCGUCUAGGGAUUGGAGGAUGUUCACUGAUUGACUCCUUCAGCACCUUACGGGAAACUAAGUCUUUGGGUUCCGGGGGGAGUAUGGUCGCAAGGCUGAAACUUAAAGGAAUUGACGGAAGGGCACCACCAGGUGUGGAGCCUGCGGCUUAAUUUGACUCAACACGCA
rnacentral:rRNA from 1 species